rnacentral:tRNA from 1 species
GAUGUGCUGGUUGAGGCGUUCCGGCGGCAUGUCAUUGGUGGUGAUGCCGAGAACCGCCAGGUCGAUCGCCUGUUCGGUCUGGUGCACCCCG